rnacentral:rRNA from 1 species
AAAAUAACCAUGAUUCCCUCAGUAACGGCGAGUGAAGCGGGAAAAGCUCAAAUUUGAAAUCUGUCAACAUUUCUUUUGUUGUCCGAGUUGUAAUUUCAAGAAGCUGCUUUGAGUGUAGACGAUCGGUCUAAGUUCCUUGGAACAGGACGUCAGAGAGGGUGAGAACCCCGUCUUUGGUCGAUUGGAUAUGCCAUAUAAAGCGCUUUCGAAGAGUCGAGUUGUUUGGGAAUGCAGCUCUAAAUGGGUGGUAAAUUUCAUCUAAAGCUAAAUAUUGGCGAGAGACCGAUAGCGAACAAGUAGAGUGAUCGAAAGAUGAAAAGAACUUUGAAAAGAGAGUUAAAUAGUACGUGAAAUUGCUGAAAGGGAAGCAUUGGAAAUCAGUCUUACCUGGGUGAGAUCAGUAGUCUCUUCGCGAGACUAUGCACUCUGAACCUGUGGUAGGUCAGCAUCAGUUUUCGGGGGCGGAAAAAGAAUAAGGGAAAGGUGGCUUUCCGGGUUCUGCCUGGGGAGUGUUUAUAGCCCUUGUUGUAAUACGUCCACUGGGGACUGAGGACUGCGGCUUCGUGCCAAGGAUGCUGACAUAAUGGUUUUCAAUGGC